rnacentral:rRNA from 1 species
CCCGUCACACCAUGGAAGCCAGCUGUACCCGAAGUCACUGUGCCAACUGCAAAGAGGGCAGGUGCCGAAGGUAUGGGUGGUGAUUGGAGUG